rnacentral:lncRNA from 1 species
CUUUCUCUCCUGUGCCUUCUCCGGCAGCCACCACCACCGAACUCCGGCGAGUUUAGCCUCCCCACGUACAGCCUUCUCCCUUUCUCCACUUUUCCGCCACUGCUUCGCCGGAGGCGAUGGCCAGCGAAGCUCCUAGUGGUUGGUUGGAAUUCGGAAGACGUCAAAUGCUAUGGCGGCUCCCCAUAAUUUCAUAUAUGGAAGUUAAACGAAGUGGUAGUUAAAGGGCAUAUCGAUAAUUUUAUUCUUAAAUCUACAAAAAUCUUAUAAAUCUCCCAAAAUAUCUUGUGCUUUGGUAUUUUUUUUAUCUUACAAUUUCUUCAUGUUUUGAUUUCUGUUUAAUGUUUUUUUUCCUUUUCAAUACCUAAAAGUUGGUAACUUUAUUUUGUUCUGGUCAUCUUAAUUCCAUCUGUAAGUUCAUUGGUUGCUUAAUUUUGGUUUAAAAUUUGCUUUCUAUUAUUUUGGAUCUUCCUUACAUAAUUGUCUGCUAAUAAAGGUUUAGUUAUAUGCUUAUGUUGUCGUUAACUAUUUGUUCAUGUGUUUCUUGGAUCAGCAGUCAGCUGCUUUUCUUGUGAAUACUAAGUAAUCUAAGUUAGUAAAGUUGAUUACAUUAUGCG